rnacentral:snoRNA from 1 species
AUCCUUUUGUAGUUCAUAAGUGUGAUGAUUGAGUGUUCACGCCAUUGUGUGACAUGUGCCACUCUUAAGCCUUAUUACGAUGCGGGCACAUUACCCAUCUGAUG